rnacentral:SRP_RNA from 1 species
GCCAGGCAUGGUAGCUCAUGCCUGUAAUCCUAGAACUCUGGGAGGCUGAGGCAGGAGGAUUGCUUGAGCCCAGGAGUUUGAGGUUGCUGUGAGCUAGGCUGAUGCCACGGCACUCUCGCCUGGGUGACAGAGUGAGACUCUUGUCUCAA